AACUGAAUCCAUAGGUUAAUGAGGCGAACCGGGGGAACUGAAACAUCUAAGUACCCCGAGGAAAAGAAAUCAACCGAGAUUCCCCCAGUAGCGGCGAGCGAACGGGGAGGAGCCCAGAGCCUGAAUCAGCAUGUGUGUUAGUGGAAGCGUCUGGAAAGGCGCGCGAUACAGGGUGACAGCCCCGUACACAAAAGCGCAUGUGCUGUGAGCUCGAUGAGUAGGGCGGGACACGUGGUAUCCUGUCUGAAUAUGGGGGGACCAUCCUCCAAGGCUAAAUACUCCUGACUGACCGAUAGUGAACCAGUACCGUGAGGGAAAGGCGAAAAGAACCCCGGCGAGGGGAGUGAAAAAGAACCUGAAACCGUGUACGUACAAGCAGUGGGAGCCCCACCACCAAAGCAUUUGCUGUACCGCGUUGACGGAGCGAAGCGACGUCAAACCGAUAAAACAGCAGUGUAAAGU
rnacentral:rRNA from 1 species